rnacentral:tRNA from 1 species
UGUAGCUCAGUUGGAUAGAGCGUUGGUCUCCGAAGCCAAAGGUCACGGGUUCAACUCCCGUCA